ACUGAACCCUAGAGCCCCUGACUGUGGGCUCCACCCAGGCAAGAGCCAAUGGAACUGGAGCCUCCUGCCCCCAACAGGAUUCCUCACAUCCCAGGACCAGCUGGAAAAGGUGGUGAGAGUUGGAAAGAGACUGCUCAGUGAGGACUGCCCUGCGAACCAGCUUGGAUUCAUCCCGUUCACCUCCACGUUCUGCACUCGGGGCCGAGGGAAGGGAGGCAGCCCAGGCAGCUAGAGAACUUGAUGAAACACACUCAAUCUGAAUCUCGCUUGAUCGUCAUGCUGACCCAGUGAGUCUACUCAGGGUCAGGCAUCCUUUCCGACUACUCACUCAGCAGCGGAUCCCCACCCGCCUCUGACUCCCAGUGUCUUUCGGCUCCAACGUAAGUUCACCGAACGUCUAAGAGCUGAGGAUUCAAAGGCAUGUAAGACCGCCCCUGCCCUCAGCUGCAAGACCUGUCCGCGAUCCUACGAGCCCCAUUCCGCCCUCUUUCCCCGACCUUGGUCCCCCAUGGGCCCUACAACCAGGUCCCCGACUGACACCUUGACCAGCGAACACAGCAAACAGGCCCGCAGAUGCCGCAGGUCCUUCGGCACCGUCUCCAGGGCCAUCUUCGCCGAUGGGAAGAACAACAGGGAGAUAGACGACCACAGCCUGUGCACCCGCAGGAAGUAAAUAGCUCGUUACCCAGAAUGCCCACCACUUCCGGCGCUUAGACUUCCUCUUCCGGUGUGGGCGGACGCCAGCUCCGCCCCUACCCCCGCCAGAGGAGAUGGUUUCUCCCGCCAGCAGGCGGGGAGGCUGGGCGGCCGGCCGCCACCUGGGCCGGAGCGCGUCGCAGCCACCUGAGCCCGCCGAGGGCGCGGCGGAGGCUGUGUGGGGUAGUCAGCGGGCCCCCGGGGCGGGGGGGCGGCUGCGCUUGCGCGGGAGUGUGUCGGGCUGAGCCGCAGCGCCGAGACGCGGGCUGUUUGAUCUGGGCUGGUGGCCCUGGGCGUCGGUCCUGUUCCCCGAUGGUAACCCGAAGUUUGUUUUUUUUUGUUUUGUCUCCCCGUUUUAGAAGCAUUGGGGGCAGUGAAUCCACUGUCUCCCUCUGGAUUGUCUCUGCAGAGACCGAGAAGAAAUCCAGGGACAGCCCCACCCCUCCUUCCUAACUGCGAGAGCGCUAUAGGGUUUCCACUUGCUUCCCACAGGAAUGCUGGCCUGGGAGCUACGGCGGAAAAAAAUGCGUAUUUAUCUUUUAAAACUCCGUCUGUUUGCUCGUUCCGGCUGAUAAUUUAUACUUUGCGCAGUUCUUAGCGCUUAGACACGGUUCCUUUACUAAAGACCAUUUGUAGGAGAUUAGGUGUCCUUUUUUUCCCUUUCAUUUCACCGUCUAGGAAGCGAAAUGCCUUGUUCUAUAGGCACUAAACCACCACCCCUACCAAACCUUUCUCGGGGAAGCAGAAGGGGAACUUGUGCCUUGUGAGGAAGCGACAAAGGCCCCUUCUGGCCCUGGAGACUUCACGCCAAUGGAGCACCAGCUCUCUGUCCUCGCAAUAGCCCGAGUGCAGGCAGAACGCAGUCAUUUGUGUUUAUCUGAGAGGAGCUUUGGGAUAUAAAUAGUUUCAGGCCCCGCUGCGCUGUCAUUCCAGCCCAGCCUCCUGAUUGAGCUGCUUCCGGGCGGGCUUUCUUCUUGUUGGCGGUCCCAUGCUGUGUUCAGAUGGGCUCUGUGACAGGUUUGGAUGUUUUCUAUCACUGAAUAAAACUUUCCACUUUGGAACAUAUUUUCUACACUCUAUUAUCUCAUGUAAGUCCUGCAACAACUAUUAAGUAGGCCCAUUUUAUGGACUGAAAAAGCGAGGCACAGAGUAUUUGCCCAAGGUCUGAGUCACUGAAGUAUGAUAAUGUGUGAAGUGAACAGUAUAAUAAUAAUGACUGAAGCACAGUAAGAAUCCAGUCAUGCUUUCUCCUUCCCUGAUCUCACUAAGCCACACUUUUAGGGGCUUACAAACCAGUUCUUAUUGCCAAGCCCUCUACUCUACCCUAUCCUUUCAUGAAUCGGAGCCUAGCCUCUGAUAACAUAAAUAAUUUACUUCUCUUGAUGUAGAAAGAGAUGACGUUGUUACCCUGAGUGACAGUCACGACAGAACAAAACCACAAGACCAGACCACAUUUGUGGAUAAAUAUAUUAGCAAAUAAAUAUAUUUCUUAACAUAGUGCCUGA
rnacentral:lncRNA from 1 species